ACGAGAAAGCGGGGGCAACUCCGCGAGUAAAGUGGCGACCGGGUGAGUAACACGUGACUAACCUACCCUCGAGCGGGGGAUAACCCCGGGAAACCGGGGCUAAUACCGCAUAACAUCCUCGACACGAAAGUAUUGAGGAUCAAAGGAGCAAUUCACUUGAGGAGGGGGUCGCGGCCGAUUAGCUAGUUGGCGGGGUAACGGCCCACCAAGGCUGAGAUCGGUAGCCGGCCUGAGAGGGCGCACGGCCACACUGGAACUGAAACACGGUCCAGACUCCUACGGGAGGCAGCAGUGGGGAAUUUUGCGCAAUGGGGGGAACCCUGACGCAGCAACGCCGCGUGGAGGAUGAAGUCCCUUGGGACGUAAACUCCUUUCGACCGGGAAGAUAAUGACGGUACCGGAAGAAGAAGCACCGGCUAACUCU
rnacentral:rRNA from 1 species